rnacentral:rRNA from 1 species
CCUACGGGAGGCAGCAGUGGGGAAUAUUGGACAAUGGGCGCAAGCCUGAUCCAGCCAUGCCGCGUGAGUGAUGAAGGCCUUAGGGUUGUAAAGCUCUUUCAACGGUGAAGAUAAUGACGGUAACCGUAGAAGAAGCCCCGGCUAACUUCGUGCCAGCAGCCGCGGUAAU